CCUACGGGAGGCAGCAGUGGGGAAUAUUGGACAAUGGGCGAAAGCCUGAUCCAGCAAUUCCGCGUGUGUGAAGAAGGCCUUCGGGUUGUAAAGCACUUUAGUUGGGGAAGAAACAGCUUGGCCACACCAAGCCUUGACGGUACCCAAAGAAUAAGCACCGGCUAACUCUGUGCCAGCAGCCGCGGUAAUACAGAGGGUGCAAGCGUUAAUCGGAUUUACUGGGCGUAAAGGGUGCGUAGGUGGUUUUGUAAGUCGGAUGUGAAAGCCUGGGGCGUCAACCUCAGAAUUGCACUCGAUACUGCAAGACUAGAGUUCGGUAGAGGGCGGCGGAAUUCCCGGUGUAGCGGUGAAAUGCGUAGAUAUCGGGAGGAACAUCAAUGGCGAAGGCAGCCGCCUGGGCCUGAACUGACACUGAGGCACGAAAGCGUGGGUAGCAAACAGGAUUAGAUACCCUGGUAGUCCACGCUGUAAACGAUGAGAACUUGACGUUGGUUCGUUUUACGAAUCGGUGUCGCAGCUAACGCGAUAAGUUCUCCGCCUGGGGNGUACGGCCGCAAGGUUGAAACUCGAAAGGAAUUGACGG
rnacentral:rRNA from 1 species